GAGAAAAAAAAAUGGGGAGCAUGGUGAGACCAGAGAAAGGCAGAAGGAAGCUGUCCUUCCAUCUGAGAGUCAUUCAGGAAGAAAGAAACGGUCCUGAAGAAGACAUAGUCUAAGAAACUGCAGCAUGAGAUGGAUCUGGCCACAGCCCACGAAGAGAGUGUCCUGCAGAAAGACCUGCUGAGUCAUGAGCCCCCUGCUGAGCCCCAUCCCCAGAAACCACAGGAUCCCUUGGGAUCCAUCCUAAAGAAGCAGAUGACUGACAGUGCAUCCUUUAUGCCCUUUAAAUUUCAUUGGGGUGGGGCGUAUCCUUAAAAGUCUUACCCUUCAGAAGCCCUAAUUUGCCUGUCCUCUGUGGAAUAAAGAGCUGUUGUCUCUGGA
rnacentral:lncRNA from 1 species